rnacentral:rRNA from 1 species
UACGUAGGGGGCAAGCGUUUGUCCGGAAUCACUGGGCGUAAAGCGCGCGCAGGCGGUCAUCUACGUCUGGGGUGAAAGCCCGGAGCUCAACUCCGGGAUUGCCUUGGAUACGGGAUGACUUGAGGAUCGGAGAGGCAAGGGGAAUUCCCGGUGUAGCGGUGAAAUGCGCAGAUAUCGGGAAGAACACCCGUGGCGAAGGCGGCUCUCUGGGACGGUACUGACGCUGAGACGCG